rnacentral:rRNA from 1 species
AUUGAACGCUGGCGGCAGGCCUAACACAUGAAAGUCGAACGAGUGGCGGACGGGUGAGUAAUUUCUGGGAAACUGCCUGACGGAGGGGGCUAACUACUGGAAACGGUAGCUAAUACCCCACACCAUCGGAUGUGCCCAGAUGGGAUUAGUUAGUAGGUGGGGUAACGGCUCACCUAGGCGACGAUCCCUAGCGGGUCUGAGAGGAGGACCAGCCACACUGGAACUGAGACACGGUCCAGACUCCUACGGGAGGCAGCAGUGGGGAAUAUUGCACAAUGGGCGCAAGCCUGAUACAGCCAUGCCGCGUGUAUGAAGAAGGCCUUCGGGUUGUAAAGUACUUUCAGCGAGGAGGCGUUACUCGCAGAAGAAGCACCGGCUAACUCCGUGCCAGCAGCCGCGGUAAUAC